rnacentral:tRNA from 1 species
ACUGUAGCUCAGUCGGUUAGAGCAUGGUGCUGAUAACACCAAGGUCGCGGGUUCAAUCCCCGUUCAGU